UCACCCACAGCUACCAUGACUUUGAUCCCCGUCUUCAUCUGGACACUGAUCCUCUGGACUCAAGGGUGCAGAGGUCAAGUCACAGUAACUCAGACUCCUGCAGUGAAAUCUGCUCGUCCAGGAGAAACAGUCACCAUCGCCUGUAGAACCAGUCAGGCAGUGUAUAGCAAUAACCGCUUACACUGGUAUCAGCAGAAACCUGGAGAAGCUCCUAAACUCCUGAUCAAAUUUGCCAAUCAGCUACAGUCAGGUUUUCCAGCUCGUUUCAGUGGCAGUGGAUCUGGAUCUGAUUUCACUCUGACCAUCAGUGGAGUCCAGACUGAAGAUGCAGCAGAUUACUACUGUCAGAGUGCACAUUCCAUCAGUAGCAACUGGCUGUUCACACAGUGUUAUAGAGUCGUACAAAAACCUCCCUCAGUCAGAUUGUAGAGAGACUGCACUGCUGCAGCUGGGAGCGACUGCAGGUGCUGAGUUGGAGGAUGUGAUACGACACAAUGACACUCUGUGGAGGAGAGGAACAACACCACACCAACUCACAACUCACAUUAGAAAUUUCUCAAUAAUUAUAACACCACACUGCACUCACUCCACCCCAUGGACACUACUGUAAAAUUAAUACUUCUGUUGAUUUAUAAAUGUUUUUGCUCCUUUUUCUCAUGACUGGAACUGUUUGGUGGAUAAUCUUCUGUUUUGUUUAGUCUCUAUCACUCAUCCUACCCAUAUUACAGUUUAAGAUUCUGAACUAAUGUCAGUCAACAUUAAUAAUUUGCUCCUAGAUUUAGUUGUUUUUUUCUUGUUUCCCUUUCAGGACACACUUCAGCCCUGCUCUGGAUUCUCCCUCAGUCACUGGUGUAACUCCUCCUGUCCUCACAGACUCUCUUUUAACAUUUGGAAAUUAAACUGGUGUUCCGUCUCUCCACUUCCUGAUAAGAUUGAGACCUGCUUUACUCCACAGUCUUGUGUCACCAUAUUUUCUCUUACUUUCCUGCUUUUUCUGCAUUUUCUCAUACAGAUCUUGUACUGUCUUAUUUUAACAUUUCUUUCAGAUCUAAUAUAAAAUUCAAAUUAUUACCCAUAAAUCAUUGUUUUUAGCUCUGAGAUCUCAUUUUCUCUUUUUUUUUUACCCCCUUCAGUCAAGCCUCCAGUCCUCCUGACUCCCCUCUCUCUCUCUCUCUCUCUCUCUUGAACUCCAAUAUCCUGAGAUUUAACAACUCUCCUUUAAAACACAAUAAUGUAAACCUUUUGGAGCUGACCAUUCAUACUUCGCCAACAUGAGACAUCAGUGUUAUCCCACUUCACUUUUCACAGCAUUAAUUAGUAUUCUGCACUCUUCUUCUCACUGCUCUUCCUAUGAGUAACUCUAACUCUAACUCUCCCUGACUCCCUCAAUCCUCCUCUCCUUCUUUUCUUUCUUUGUGGCUUUCAGUAUCCAAUGUUUCUAUGUGAAUCUUAGUAUGUUUUCGCAGCUCUUCAGCUAAAACUAAAUUACAGCAUGUCUGAGUUGCUGUACAUCACUAAAGAUGCAUCACUAUGAUGUAUUUUGUGAUUGUUAGGAGAAUUAUUGUGUAACAACAUCUGGCAGGACAAUCAAACGUUAAGUAGUUUUACAAAACUAGCUAUCUUUCUCUCCUGAUGCUCACUCACUCACUCCCUCGUGUGGUGAGAAGGAGCUUCGUACUUCCUUCCAGGUUUCCAGCUAUGCACCUGAGAUUAAUUAUUGGGUGUAGUUUAGGAGAGUAUAAAAGGGUGCGGCAAGAUCAACCAGGUGUGGCGCUAAUUCACCCCCAGGUGGCGCUUCCGGAAGUGUGUCGUCUAGUUCCGGUGUACGGGAGGUAUGUUUGGCAUGCUGGAUUUUCGGCUAUUUGUCAAUGUUAGCAUCUUGCUAAUAGUGAUUUUCUUUUGGAAAGCCGGCGAUUUUUCGGAUAUUUAUUGUGUCCGAGGCAGUGGAGGAGCAGCGUAUUGCUGUCUAGGUGUAUUUACCCUUUCAAAAAGAGCGGUGCAAUUUGUGCGCGUGUACUGCAGGAGACGAAUGCUACCGUAUCGUUGGUAUGCCGAUUUAUUUUCUCUUUGUAUAGUAGGCUUAAGAUCCUUAGGCAUAUGAUGUGACCUGUAUAUCUGUCCUAUGUUUUCGAUCUGUUGAAGGAGUGGCCGCCAGAUGGAU